rnacentral:rRNA from 1 species
AGCGAACGCUGGCGGCAGGCCUAAUACAUGCAAGUCGAGCGCACCUUCGGGUGAGCGGCGGACGGGUGAGUAACGCGUGGGAACGUGCCCUUUGGUACGGGAUAACUGAGGGAAACUUCAGCUAAUACCGUAUGUGCCCUACGGGGGAAAGAUUUAUCGCCAUUGGAGCGGCCCGCGUUGGAUUAGCUAGUUGGUGGGGUAAAGGCUCACCAAGGCUACGAUCCAUAGCGGGUCUGAGAGGAUGAUCAGCCACACUGGGACUGAGACACGGCCCAGACUCCUACGGGAGGCAGCAGUAGGGAAUCUCGCGCAAUGGGCGAAAGCCUGACGCAGCCAUGCCGCGUGAAUGAUGAAGGUCUUAGGAUUGUAAAAUUCUUUCACCGGGGAAGAUAAUGACGGUACCCGGAGAAGAAGCCCCGGCUAACUUCGUGCCAGCCGCCGCGGUAAAAC